UACAGAGGGGGCAAGCGUUGUUCGGAAUUACUGGGCGUAAAGGGCGCGUAGGCGGCCUUCUAAGUCGAACGUGAAAUCCCUGGGCUCAACCCAGGAACUGCGUCCGAUACUGGAAGGCUUGAAUCCGGGAGAGGGAUGCGGAAUUCCAGGUGUAGCGGUGAAAUGCGUAGAUAUCUGGAGGAACACCGGUGGCGAAGGCGGCAUCCUGGACCGGCAUUGACGCUGAGGAGCGAAAGCUAGGGGAGCAAACGGG
rnacentral:rRNA from 1 species